rnacentral:lncRNA from 1 species
AUGGCGGCACCGGGAGAUGGGGAAGAGAAGAAGGGCGCCGGGAGCGGGAAGAACAAGCACGGGCUCCCGCGCGGCUUCCGCUUCGUGCCCCAGGACCAGGAGCUCCUCGACAUCCUCGACGACAAGCUCGGCGGCGCCCCGCUCGACCGCGCGCUCGACGCCGUCUUCCACGACACGCGGAUCCUCGACUUCCACCCCGCCAAGCUCUACGGGAUGUACGCGGAGGACGAGGAGAACGGCUACAUCUACUUCUUCAGCACGAUAGAGUUCAAGGCAGCCAAGCCCAAGCAGAAGAAGUGGCCGCGGCGCGCGGCGCAGGGCGGACGGUGGAAGGCCGUCCUCGGCUCCAGCCAGAUGGUGGAGGUUGGCGGCGUCCCCGUCGGCCGGAAGCUCUCCAUGGAGUUCUACGUCAAGGGGGUCAGGACCAACUGGGGCAUGCACGAGUUCGUCAGGAUCAUCGGCCCCAACAUCGAGGUUGCGGAUCUUGCCGUGUACCGCCUACACAAGCUAUGGACGAACGGCGAGGAGAAGCCGGGAGACCUCGCCGCGGACGUUGCCAAGAGCACGAACCAGAGUGGACAAGCGUCGGCGGAGGACUACUACCAGACUUACCAGAACGCGGUCUCUCAGGCGUAUGCGUAUGCGCCGCCGUACGUCCUCCAGCCAGGAUGGUGCCAAGGGUACCCCUACGAUGUCGCGGCGGCGCCACCGACCGCGCCCUGGCCUGUCUGUUGGGCGCCGCCGUCCGCGCCGGGAUCCUAUGACUGCUGCUACGCGUCCACGUUUUCAAGGCCGCCGCCGCCACCACCAAUUGCUGCGAGCACGCUGGACAAGGCGCCGAUAACCAGUACCGACCACGGCGCAUCAACGAACACUUCGGCGGCGACACCCGCGGCGAACAACAAGCCGCCGCCGCCACCAGUUGCUGCGACAGCGACCACGCUGGGCAAGAAGGGGGAGGGCAAGGGCAAGGCGCCGACGACCACCAGUACCGAUCACGCCGGAUCAACGAACACCUCGGCGCCACCCGCCGCGAACUACCAGCCGCCGCCGCUGCAGGGCACGCAGCACGUCUUCGCACCCGGCGUCGUCGUCGGGCAUGAGGACGAGGAGGGCUACCUCAUCGUCGACGAGGUCAACACGUGGCGCAACACGCAGCAGCUCGUGCUCGAGGAUGACGACGACGACGACGACGGCCGUGCCGCCGGCGCCGGUGCAGGUGAGGGUGGCGCUUCAGCCUCAGGGCGGUGACAGUCUGACAUCAGCAGAUUAAGAGAGACCCUGAGGCGUAUCAGUUAA